rnacentral:rRNA from 1 species
GGUCAAGCGAACAAGUGCAUGUGGUGGAUGCCUUGGCGAUCACAGGCGAUGAAGGACGCGGUAGCCUGCGAAAAGCUACGGGGAGCUGGCAAACGAGCUUUGAUCCGUAGAUGUCCGAAUGGGGAAACCCACCUCUUUUGAGGUAUCCGUGGCUGAAUACAUAGGCCAUGCGAAGCGAACGCGGUGAACUGAAACAUCUAAGUAACCGCAGGAAAAGAAAUCAACCGAGAUUCCCAGAGUAGUGGCGAGCGAAAUGGGACCAGCCUGUACUCUUUAUCUUCAUUGUUAGUCGAAGGCUCUGGAAAGUGCCGCCAUAGCAGGUGAUAGCCCUGUAGACGAAAACAGCGAGGAAGAACUAGGUGUACGACAAGUAGGGCGGGACACGUGAAAUCCUGUCUGAAGAUGGGGGGACCAUCCUCCAAGGCUAAAUACUCGUGAUCGACCGAUAGUGAA